ACACAACGAAAAUGUUUUGAAGAUUAGUUGACUGUUGUUUUUGGGAUUUGGAACAUAACAGUGUGAUAAUACCUGAAACAUGGCAAAAAUUCUGUACUGUCUCUUGAUUGCGGCGCUGGUUGCACAAAUCUAUGCCAAACCAGCGGACGCUGAAGAGGCUAAAAGUGCUGCAGCCCCUACAGCGUCUCCGUCGUCAAUACCAAAAAUACCGAUUAAUCCUGGCGCAUUGUUUGCGGAAGCAGUUGACACUGGAGCAGAUAUCCUAAAAACCGGUGCCAAGAAAUUUUUAGGUUUCUUUUAACGAAGAAAGGAGAAGAUGAUAUUCGCAGACACGGAAUUACUAUUUAACCUUUCCGCAAAAAAUAGCACAAAUAUUAUGAUACUUCAAUAUCUAGUAAAUUAAAUAAUUGUGUAUUUAUCAUAUAUUUACAUUGAACCAUAAAAUUAUGACCGUUGGCAACGAAAAAUACUAGAUAUUCAAUAAAAUAAUGUUAUAUAAAA